CCACCCAGUGCCGUAAGAGGGCCCUCCGAUGUUGCCCAUGACGCUGUCGGCAUGCCUCCACUGAUUGUGCCGUAAGAGUAUUUGCUUCUUUUUACUGCAGUAUAAAAUCAUUUUUGCCAUCUUCUAAUGUGUCCACUGUUUUUUCUCAGUUAUUCGGAGAGCACCACGUAAGUUCACGAUUCAUUGUCUAGAGGUAAUUGUCAGAAUCAGUUUCCAGAGUUUGCUUCCUCAGCGUGUAGUAUUUGAAGUAUAAAAAAUAUUGAUUCUAAUGAUUACAAUAUGAACAUUGAUAAAAUGAUGAUUCAAUAAUUUUUCGGAUUUGCAUCCUAUGGAAUUAUCGUUUCUGUUGACUUAUCCCUAUUUAUAAUUUCGGAUUAUUAUUUUUGGCACUCCAGUUUCAGAAAUAAAGCACUAGCCAGUUAUAUGUGAUGUUUCAAGCAGAACUGGAAUUAGUCAAAAGCUGUCCGCAAACAAUAACGCGCAUGACAUUGGCUUCAUAGACAUUCUCGACUGUAUUUGACUUCGUUCAGAGGAAGAUAUUCAAAGAGCGAAUUAUUUGGAAAAUUAAACCUUCAAAUUUGUAAAAGUGAAGUUACUCAACUGCAGCUGUAGGCUAGCAUGCUCUUUUUAUUUUGAGGUGAUUAUUCUCUUUAAAAAGAGAGGUUGAUUUGCUUUGGUGUAUGGGACACUAAGAUCCCUUUUGAUUGAUUUCUUAUAUGUCAUUUUGAUAUCAACUUGUUUCAUCCAUUUGUGUUUUGUUUAUACCAUAAAUCAUUCUGCAGCCACACAAGAUCAUUCUGCAUCCAUCAUAAUCUGUUUGCCCAAAAAAUAGCAAGGUACGUUCUCCCCAUUCCUAUUUUCCUCCAAUUGAUCCCUGAUUUCUUACCAUUUCAUGUUUGUGAUAUUUCUACUUUAUUUUGCCUAAUGUUCUGAGCCUUAGAUUUGGUGCUCAAGUACGACAGUUACUUCUCUUAAGGGUGUGUGCCUGUCUUUUUU
rnacentral:lncRNA from 1 species